CACUGGCCCCAUCGAAGCUGAAUGGAAUUACAUAUUCUAUAUCAGUCAAAACGAGGCCAAUAUAAAACUGUUGGCAUUAUGGUCGCAUGCUGUUGUUUAUUGACCAGUGUGCAUUACCCAUGUCAAGUACAAAA
rnacentral:snoRNA from 1 species